rnacentral:rRNA from 1 species
UGACGAAGGGUGCAAGCGUUGUCCGGAAUUAUUGGGCGUAAAGAGCUCGUAGGUGGUUUGUCGCGUUGUUCGUGAAAACUCACAGCUUAACUGUGGGCGUGCGGGCGAUACGGGCAGACGUUGAGUACUGCAGGGGAGACUGGAAUUCCUGGUGUAGCGGUGGAAUGCGCAGAUAUCAGGAGGAACACCGGUGGCGAAGGCGGGUCUCUGGGCAGUAACUGACGCUGAGGAGCGAAAGCGUGGGGAGCGAACAGG